GUUAUAUGGUCAAGUGAAGAAGCGCAUACGGUGGAUGCCUUGGCAGUCAGAGGCGAUGAAAGACGUGGUAGCCUGCGAUAAGCUUCGGGGAGUCGGCAAACAGACUUUGAUCCGGAGAUCUCUGAAUGGGGGAACCCACCUAGGAUAACCUAGGUAUCUUGUACUGAAUCCAUAGGUGCAAGAGGCGAACCAGGGGAACUGAAACAUCUAAGUACCCUGAGGAAAAGAAAUCAACCGAGAUUCCCUUAGUAGUGGCGAGCGAACGGGGAUUAGCCCUUAAGCUUCUUUGAUCUUAGUAGAAGGCUCUGGAAAGUGCCGCCAUAGUGGGUGAUAGCCCCGUAUACGAAAAGAUCCUUGAAGUGAAAUCGAGUAGGACGGCGCACGUGAAACGUUGUCUGAACAUGGGGGGACCAUCCUCCAAGGCUAAAUACUACUGACUGACCGAUAGUGAACCAGUACCGUGAGGGAAAGGCGAAAAGAACCCCGGAGAGGGGAGUGAAAUAGAACCUGAAACCGUAUGCGUACAAGCAGUGGGAGCCUACUUUGUUAGGUGACUGCGUACCUUUUGUAUAAUGGGUCAGCGACUUAUUNNNNNNNNNNNNNNNNNNNNNNNNNNNNNNNNNNNNNNNNNNNNNNNNNNNNNNNNNNNNNNNNNNNNNNNNNNNNNNNNNNNNNNNNNNNNNNNNNACCCCUAAGGCGAGGCUGAAAAGCGUAGUCGAUGGGAAACGGGUUAAUAUUCCCGUACUUCUGGUUACUGCGAUGGGGGGACGGAGAAGGCUAGGCCAGCUUGGCGUUGGUUGUCCAAGUUUAAGGCGGUAGACAGGGAUCUUAGGUAAAUCCGGGAUCUCAAUGUCGAGAGCUGAUGACGAGCUUUCUUUUAGAAAGCGAAGUGGUUGAUGCCAUGCUUCCAGGAAAAGCCUCUAAGCUUCAGGUAAUCAGGAACCGUACCCCAAACCGACACAGGUGGUCGGGUAGAGAAUACCAAGGCGCUUGAGAGAACUCGGGUGAAGGAACUAGGCAAAAUGGCACCGUAACUUCGGGAGAAGGUGCGCCGGUGAGGGUGAAUGACUUGCUCAGUAAGCUCAUGCCGGUCGAAGAUACCAGGCCGCUGCGACUGUUUAUUAAAAACACAGCACUCUGCAAACACGAAAGUGGACGUAUAGGGUGUGACGCCUGCCCGGUGCCGGAAGGUUAAUUGAUGGGGUUAGCGCAAGCGAAGCUCUUGAUCGAAGCCCCGGUAAACGGCGGCCGUAACUAUAACGGUCCUAAGGUAGCGAAAUUCCUUGUCGGGUAAGUUCCGACCUGCACGAAUGGCGUAACGAUGGCGGCGCUGUCUCCACCCGAGACUCAGUGAAAUUGAAAUCGCUGUGAAGAUGCAGUGUAUCCGCGGCUAGACGGAAAGACCCCGUGAACCUUUACUGUAGCUUUGCACUGGACUUUGAGCCUGCUUGUGUAGGAUAGGUGGGAGGCUUUGAAGCGUGGACGCCAGUUCGCGUGGAGCCAUCCUUGAAAUACCACCCUGGCAUGCUUGAGGUUCUAACUCUGGUCCGUCAUCCGGAUCGAGGACAGUGUAUGGUGGGCAGUUUGACUGGGGCGGUCUCCUCCUAAAGAGUAACGGAGGAGUACGAAGGUGCGCUCAGACCGGUCGGAAAUCGGUCGCAGAGUAUAAAGGCAAAAGCGCGCUUGACUGCGAGACAGACACGUCGAGCAGGUACGAAAGUAGGUCUUAGUGAUCCGGUGGUUCUGUAUGGAAGGGCCAUCGCUCAACGGAUAAAAGGUACUCCGGGGAUAACAGGCUGAUACCGCCCAAGAGUUCAUAUCGACGGCGGUGUUUGGCACCUCGAUGUCGGCUCAUCACAUCCUGGGGCUGAAGCCGGUCCCAAGGGUAUGGCUGUUCGCCAUUUAAAGUGGUACGCGAGCUGGGUUUAGAACGUCGUGAGACAGUUCGGUCCCUAUCUGCCGUGGACGUUUGAGAUUUGAGAGGGGCUGCUCCUAGUACGAGAGGACCGGAGUGGACGAACCUCUGGUGUUCCGGUUGUCACGCCAGUGGCACUGCCGGGUAGCUAUGUUCGGAAGAGAUAACCGCUGAAAGCAUCUAAGCGGGAAACUUGCCUCAAGAUGAGAUCUCACUGGAGCCUCGAGCUCCCUGAAGGGCCGUCGAAGACUACGACGUUGAUAGGCAGGGUGUGUAAGCGUUGUGAGGCGUUGAGCUAACCUGUACUAAUUGCCCGUGAGGCUUGACCAUAUAACACCCAAACA
rnacentral:rRNA from 1 species